rnacentral:rRNA from 1 species
CUGCCCAUCAGAAGGGGAUAACACUUGGAAACAGGUGCUAAUACCGUAUAACACUAUUUUCCGCAUGGAAGAAAGUUGAAAGGCGCUUUUGCGUCACUGAUGGAUGGACCCGCGGUGCAUUAGCUAGUUGGUGAGGUAACGGCUCACCAAGGCCACGAUGCAUAGCCGACCUGAGAGGGUGAUCGGCCGCACUGGGACUGAGACACGGCCCAGACUCCUACGGGAGGCAGCAGUAGGGAAUCUUCGGCAAUGGACGAAAGUCUGACCGAGCAACGCCGCGUGAGUGAAGAAGGUUUUCGGAUCGUAAAACUCUGUUGUUAGAGAAGAACAAGGAUGAGAGUAAAAUGUUCAUCCCUUGACGGUAUCUAACCAGAAAGCCACGGCUAACUACGUGCCAGCAGCCGCGGUAAUACGUAGGUGGCAAGCGUUGUCCGGAUUUAUUGGGCGUAAAGCGAGCGCAGGCGGUUUCUUAAGUCUGAUGUGAAAGCCCCCGGCUCAACCGGGGAGGGUCAUUGGAAACUGGGAGACUUGAGUGCAGAAGAGGAGAGUGGAAUUCCAUAUGUAGCGGUGAAAUGCGUAGAUAUAUGGAGGAACACCAGUGGCGAAGGCGGCUCUCUGGUCUGUAACUGACGCUGAGGCUCGAAAGCGUGGGGAGCGAACAGGAUUAGAUACCCUGGUAGUCCACGCCGUAAAC